UUCAAUGGCGGGCCGUGUGGGGACACCGCAAGGUGUGCCGGUUCCAUAUCCCGGUCUGCCAACCCUGCACGGUCUGCCGCCCUC
rnacentral:antisense_RNA from 1 species